rnacentral:lncRNA from 1 species
UGUUUUGAUUUUUUUCACAAAGGAUAUUUAUUAUUUAGUUUAGUUAAACUCAUUAUGUUUAAUAAUAAAAUUUUGAUUAAGAUGUCAUCAUGGCAUCAUACAUUCAAUUUUUCAUAUCAUAUGGUAAUAAUCAUAUUCUCAUUAAAUUUGCUUCUAUCAAGAUUUCAUGUUUUCAUAAUUUCAUGGUACCUGCAGAACACUGUUUGAUCUGUCUCUUGUAGUCAUGAUAACUUUCCAAUUCCAGAUUGGUCAUCUGUAGAAAUAGUAGAAGUUUUGAAAGAUGUAAAUGGUGACAGUUAUUAUAUUGUUGAAAGAAUAUGACUAACUUUUAGGAAACUUCUGCUCGGUGAUUUGUCGACAGGUUUAAUUUGUCUCCCCUAGGUAAACCCCUACCGAUCAGGUUUGCGUCCUGAUGUGACAGAAUUUCGAAUUUCUACUUUCUUACGUCCUCUGAAAAAGCUGCAGCAGAAGACAUCGAUCGGACUUGCGGAGAAUUCCCAUCGACAGAUGGUUGACAGUGGAAAGACAAGACAUAACAUAAUUCACACAUUAUAAUAAACUAAAUGUAAUUAAUUUAUUAUUAUAGAUUUGACUGGUAAUUAAUUUCACACAAAAGAAAAAGUCGACGGAAUAGAAGUAAUUCGAAUUUCCUCAGUAGAUACCGAUAUAUCUUCUUUGAAAACUAUUCCUGGAUAAUUUUUCUAUAGUAACUACUGAUAUUAAUAUCUUAAAUAAUUUGGGUUAUGAAAACAUAAUAUCUUAAACCCAAUAGUAACUACUAUUAAAUGUUAUACCGAUCAAAAAAAUUAUAACCGAAUAAUCAUUCGGAUAAAUUAUAAUUGAAAAAAUUAUAUCCGGAUAGAAUAUUUCGGAUAUUUAGAAAAAUACUUACCGAUUCACAUUCUUACCACCGUGUCUACGCAGAAGUCCUAUUAGCACCUUAUUGAAAAUCGAUUCACAUUCUUACAAAUUAACGUACUCUUUAUUGAAAAUCGGUCUAAAGUCCUAUUAACAUCCUCUACAUGUAAUGGAAAUCGUCGAAAAGCGGUCGAAAAUCAGUCAAAUGUCUUUAUUGUACAUCAUAAAACGAUGGAGACGGAGGAAUAAACUGGUCAAAUAAACCUAUUCAUUUGCGAAUAAACCUACAAACUAAAUCGGUCAAAACGUAUUUGAAAUCUACCAUUCAUUUGCGAAGUCAAAUAAAUUGUUCCUAACAACAAAAUUACUCUAUAACAUUAAACCCAAAAUAAUUUCUUACCACCGCUUUUAUUUCCUCUGGAGAAAAUAAAGUAUGUCUCCGGCGAUUUACUACUUCCACUUCGCAAAUGAUAGAGCUUUUUAAAAUGUGUAGCAUUCUUUUAAAAUCAUAUAUGUUUCGAGCUUAGAAACUGCUUGGUCGAGUUGGUAUAAAACGGCCUGUUACAAGAUCGCCUGUGACAGACAAUAGCAAUUCGAAAGUACACAUUUCAAGAAAAAUACAAUGAAAAUAGUGAUGAAAAAUUACCAAUAUCUGCCAACAAAGAAGUUGCUAAUAUCUGCCUCGAACAUACGUGAUGGAAAAAAUCAGUUACUAAUAAAUCAAUACGUAAUGAAACGCAUGAAGAAGCAGAAACGAAAGCAGAUGAAGAAAUCUGGCGACAAAGAAAACCAGUAGCAGCCAAAAGCCGCGGACAAAGAAAGCAAGGACAGACAAAGCCGGAACAACAACAAAGAAAAGAAAAACAGAAACUCAAGAUAAAAAGGUAUAAAACUCAGAACGAAGACAAACAACCCGCAAAUCGGAGAAACUUAAUGGUAGAACAAAUCAUUAGAAUGAAUGAAUUAAAGUAAGAAAGAAUUUGAAAUUCAAGCAGAUGAAUAAAUCCCGGAGGAAUCCCAGAACUAAUCCAUUAUAGAUCGCUUUUUACAAGAACGUCUGUUACGAGAUCUCCUGUGACGGUCAAUAGCAAUUCGAAAGUAAGGAUCAAGCGAAAAUAGGGUUUCAAAUAGGAUUCUGAAAUUAGGGAUAAAUAUUUUCCACAUUAUCGGGUUGUAAUUAUUUGACCGAUUAGUAAAUCCUCCGGACGAAAAAAUAACCAGUUAAUUAUCUGUUUACUACGAUCGAAUAUACUCCGAAGCAGAAAUGAAAGCAGAUGAAGAAAUCUGACGACAUAGAAAAACAGUUGCAGCCUAAAGCCAGGACAAAGAAAGCCGAACAACAUCAAAGACAAACGCAAAAAAACAGAAACUCAAGAAAAACAGGUAUAAAACCCAGAACGAAGACAAACAACCCGGAAAUCGGAGAAACCCAACCGGUGAACAAAUUGUAGAACGAUGAAUUAUAUUAAGAAAGAAUUUGAAAAUCAAACGGAUGAAUAAAACCCGGAGUUAUAGGAGAACUAGAUCGCCUUUUACAAGAUCCCUGAUACGAGAUCGCCUGUGACAGACAAUACCUAUUCGAAAGUAAGUAUUAAACGAAAAUAGGGUUUCGACGAUUUUAUUUCGGUUAAAUAGGAUUAUGAAAUUAGGGAUUAAAUUUUUUUCACAUUAUCGGGUUGUAAUUAUUCGAUCGAUUAGUAAAUCUUAUCCAAUUACUAUCUUUUUGUGGUUUUUUUGGUCAUCACCAUUUGAUCCCGCAAUGUCGACACUGAGCUGAGCUAUUAAAAUCGAUAACCCAUUUCGAUACCUCAAGAACUCAUUUCGAUCAGUCAGCGAUAACCCAUUCUUAUACCUCAAGAACCCACUUCGAUUGUCAGUCAGCGAUGGAGUUGAAGAACACUUCCUUGAAGAAGAGGUCCCGAGAAUUUUUUACGAACAAUGAACUUCAGGGUUCGAGAUCCUCUGUGAACUUUGGUUCCGACAUAAAUCUGAGUCCACAGCAACAACAUAUAAUCGCAGCGAUCGUCGCUGACCGAUCAGUUUUUAUUACAGGUUCAGCCGGUACUGGUAAGAUCGAGUUUCCUGUUGAAGCACGCUGUUUCAACGCUUCGACAAAUUCAUCCUCCGAACUCCGUUUUCGUGACCGCCUCCACCAGCGUAGAAGCGUGCGCACUUGGUGGACAAACUUUGUACUCAUUCGCAGGCAUCGGGUUAGGAAAAGGAACCAAAACUGAACUUGUCAACUUCGUCCUAAAAAGUAAUAAAGCGGCAGAACGGUGGAAGCGAGCUAAGGCACUUGUUAUAAACGAGAUCAGUAUGAUCGAUGGAGAGCUCUUUGAUAAUCUCGAGUUCCUGUCAAGCACUCAUAGAAAUUCAUAUUGCAAAGGUGAUAAACAGUUACUAUAGGGAGAGACAUUCAACUGAUAGUGAGUGGUUAUUUUUUCCAACUCCUUCCUAUCUAUGCUCACAAUCCUCGAAAUGAGUUUGCUUUUGAAUCAUCUUGCUGGGAAGCUACCUUUGACAUUCAGAUGGAAUUAAAUCAUGUCUACCGUCAGUCGGAUUCCGAACUCAUCGAUUUCCUUGAGGGUAUCCGUCGUGGCCAGGUCGAUCGAUCGGGAUAACACAAACUUCAUAAGAUUCCUCAAUGACACCGCAUCAGUAAACGACGUUACUGACGAUAAUCAAACAGAAACCAUACUAUUUCCAAGAACCGAUGAUGUGCGAAAAGUGAACCAGGAACAUCUUAGAAGUUUAGGAAAAGAGGUAGAGAGGUUCAAAGCUGUCGAUAAAGGUUCAAUGCCAUGGUUAAAACAAUUGAAAUAUCAGAUAGCACCUGAUGAAUUGGAAAUCUGCGAGGGAGCUAGGGUAAUGCUGAUCAAGAACACAGAUCAGGCAAUCGGACUAGUCAACGGCGCAACCGGAGUAGUAACAUGAUUUAAAACAGGUUCGUUACUAGCAUCUGAAAACAAUGUAAAUGGUUUAGUGCCCAUAGUUAGAUUUGAUUCAGGAUUAGAAGUUCCACUGGAGGUUGAAAAAUGGGACAUUCUCGAAGCAAACGAAGUCAAGGCUAUUCGUCGGCAAGUUUCACCCAUAUUAGCUUGGGCGCUUAGUGUUCACAAAUGUCAAGGGAUGACUCUUGAUCGUCUUAGUACCGACCUGACUAGAGCAUUUGGACCAGGAAUGGUUUACGUCGCACUAUCUCGUGCUACCACAAUUCAAGGUCUUCGUGUUGCUGGGUUUAGUCCAGAAAAAAUCAAAGCGAAUCUUAAAGUUCUAUGUUUCUACACAAAGCUUCUUAAUAUGUCCUUCAACUCUGAGAAGUCUUAGAAAAUCAAAGGUUACAUGAUGUAAUUCGUUUAUCUUGAUUUACUUCUUUGAUUUAAAAAAAAUCAAUGGGCCUGAGGCUCAUCUUAUUUGGAACUUGUAUCAAUAAAAAAUCAAACGUGUAUCAUUAAACUAAAUUAGUUCAAACGGGUUUUUCAUAAACUUCAUAAGAAAAAUACCGUAAAUAAUAUCUCAUCCAUGAUUCAUUCUUCAUUCCAACGUCAUCUUCAUUCCAACAUUAUCUUCAUUCCAACAUUAUCUUAAUUCCAACAUUCCAAUAAAAUUGGUAUUGUUAUACGCUGGGAAAAAUUAAUCUCGAGAUCAUUAAUCUGGCAAUGAAUAUAAUUCCAGUUAAUUAUCUGCCGCAUGAACCCAAUUCAUGCCGGAACUCCAGACGAAAAAAUAACCAGUUAAUUAUCUACCGGAAUACGAUCGAAUAUAGGUGAUGGAACGCAGAAAGAAGCAGAAAUUAGUUGCUCAAGAAACCCAGAAAGAAGCAGAAGUGGAACGCAGAAAGAAGCAGAAGUGGAACGCAGAAAGAAGCAGAAACGAAAGAAGAUAAAGCAGAAAUGCAGAAAGAAGCAGAUGAAGAAAUCAGAGGACAAAGAAAACCAGUAGCCGCAACAAAAACAAAGAAAAGAAAAGAAAAGAAAAUAGGAACUAAAGAUAAAAAGGUAUAAAACCCAGAACGAAUGAAAUAAAUUAAGAAAGAAUCGGAAACUCAAAAGGAUUAAUAAACCCAGAAGGAAUCGGAGAACAAAUCCAAAAUCGAGUAAAUAUAGAAUGAAAAGAAAAACGAAGAACAAAUCCAAAAAAUAAAUAAAAGAAAAACCAAUAGAAAAGUAACAAAAACGAAAGAAGAUGAAGAAAUCUCAGGAAAAAGAAAACCAGUAGCAGCCAAAAGCCAGGACGAAGAAAGCCAGGAAAAAGAAAACCGCAUCAAAUACAAAGAAUAGAAAAAAAAACAAAAACUCAAGAUAAAAAGGUAUGAAUCCCAGAAUGAAAACAAACAACCAGAAAAUCGGAGAAACCCAAUCGGAGAACAAAUCGGAACACGAAUGAAUAAACAUAGAAAGAAUCGGAAACCCAAAAGGAUGAAAAAACCCAGAAGAUAUCGGAGAACAAAUCCAAAAUCGAGUAAACAUAGAAUGAAAAAAUAAACGAAGAACAAAUUAAAAAAAAACGAGGAGAAGAUGAAGAAACUGAAGAGAAGAAUCCGAGAACGACAACCCAGGAGGAAUAAGAAACAAGCUUAAAACAGAUAUCGAAAUGAAAUGACAGAAUAACAUUACACCUAUAACUAACAGCUAUCUACUUAUAGAAGCUACCUAUCAGAACUAACUAAUGACGAAAAAUUAGCAAAAUUCUAUAAGUCACCGUACAACGGACAUGGUCGGGUGUGCACAGGUAGUGAUACGGAUUGUAUAAAUUAUAAUGUAUAUAUUGUUUAUUUACUUUGAGAAUGAACACAGUAGUGUAUUUCUUCUAUUCAGGUUAGGACUCAGGAGACGAUU